GCCGGAAUAGCUCAGUCGGUAGAGCAGCGCAUUCGUAAUGCGAAGGUCGGGGGUUCAACUCCUCUUUCCGGCACCA
rnacentral:tRNA from 1 species